rnacentral:sRNA from 1 species
CCCAAUUCCUUAUCCCUGACCCAUCCACUGACCUCCCACCUGACCCUCUGACUCUUGACCCACAUAUUUGACCCUGAGCUAUAACCUCCUAAGCCUUCUACAGCCUGACCUGUAACCCAAGGCCCAUCAACCUGAUCAUGUGACUACUAUGCAAACACACCCUAACCCCAGAAUCUAACCCCUGACCCUUGACCUGGAGACAUGAUUGUUGAACUCCCAGAGACCCUAACUACAAAUACUCAGCUGCUGAUCCCAGAUCUGACUCCCUUCUCCCACCCCAACACUUCAUGGCCCCAUCUUCUUCCCUUUUAGGGGUGACCACGGACUCAGUGAGUAUGAGAACCCAGAUGGGAGGGGUGGGCAGGCGAGGGACAGGAGGGCUCAUGCUGCUGUCACCCGCAGCCGGUGAGUGAGGAGCGGUCAGUGCAGCAGAGCCACCCAACUGCCACCACGUCUCCUGCCCGGCCCUACCCCGAGCUGAUCUCCCGUCCCUCGCCCCCGACCAUGCGCUGGUUCCUGCCGGACUUGCCUCCUUCCCGCAGCGCCGUGGAGAUCGCGCCCACUCAGGUCACAGAGACUGAUGAGUGCCGACUGAACCAGA